GUCGCUUUGCCGGAGUGGUUAACGGGUUCGCCUGCUAUCUCGCAUAGCUCGACAGCGGAUGCAUUUAUGCGCGUGUGUUCGAAUCGCACAGGCGACG